rfam:Picea glauca, whole genome shotgun sequence.
AUGUACAUUCCUACAACAUAGAGUUAAUGCAUUGGAUCCCAUUACAACUCCUCACUUAAGUACACUCAGGCUAGAGUAGUAUUGGGAUGGGUGACUUCCCGAGAAUUCCUAUUGUUUUACAUG